CUUCUAGUCAUGGAAACAGGAUGGAAUUUAAACUAACACACGUUUUUGAUGGUGGGCAAAUCCCGAUUACCCGUCUGAAGGGUGUGCCAUAGAGAAGGCCGUUAGCAGGGUCGCGGGCGUGCUGGAGCCUAUCCCAGCUAUCUUCGGGCGAAAGGCGGGGUACACCCUGAAAUGGACGCCAGCCAAUCGCAGUGACCGGUGAACUGGAAAAAACUGUCAGGUUGGCCUGCCCCGUGAUGGAUAGACCUUUCUGUAUUCCCAAAGGAAGUAGACCAGUCGGGAAAAAGAUCUAAGGAUGACCACCGGCACUACAUCGCUUGAUGUACUGACACCAAGUGAUUCAUCUCAGUUUCCUACUUUUCAAAAGACAGGAACACCGUCUGUUUUUGUUUCCUCUACACCUAUCAGUAGGUGCACAUGGUCGACCUAAUUCGUGGCUUUUUCAAACUUCCUUCUCGUAUCAUGAAUGACCUUUCAGAACAUGUCCAUUUAUUUGAUUGUUUUAAAGCUCUGACUAGAUGAGGACACAGAUGAUUUCUGUGAGUGUUACUUUGAGUGUAACUGCCCGUUUAAUGGUCAUCGGCUCAUGAAAAUGCAUCAUCAUCAUGUUUCAUUUCAUGUUUUAUCCAUUCAUGUAACUGCUUAUUGCACUUGGUUUCACACCAUCACACAUAUUUGCUGCUCAAACCAGAUUGUUGCAGUUCAGCCAUGCCUAGCAUUUUCUUGACUUUGCAUAUUAAGGCAAAUAUUAUUUGGAAUUUGUUGGGAUUUUAUCAGACAA